UCAUAGAGACGACGCACCCUCUCCAGAUCACCUGUGACGCUAAAAUCUGGAGGUCGAAGUCCUCAGCGAUUUCGCUGCAGGGUCAAGACUAGAGGAAGUAUACAUAUGUAUCACGAGUUAUCUAUUUUAUUUAUCAAUUGCGUGACUAGCGCGGUCAACGUCACGUGAUUUCCCAUAAACGCGUGCAAGUUUUUCCCGAGGGGGCCAGCUGGGGGCGCACUGUUGUGUCAUUAGCUCUGACGUAUAAGAAGAACAAGUGACCUAAAAGAAUGUCGUCGUGACGAGCUGAAUAGGCCGUCUACAUGAAAUCCACACACAAUCUUCGUAACAACAGCACAAUCAACACAACAUAACACUAAUGCAUUCAUAUCAUCACACAUAUUAAUAUCUUGCAUCAGUGAUCACUGUCAGUAAUGAGCAGGGCUUCAACAUUAACAUCGAAAGAGCGCUUCAAUCACAUUUGAGCGCCAUUGACUAGUUCUGGCUCGUUUGACUUGUACUGGUUUUACUGGCGAUGAUGGAGCUUGCUCGCUCCGUCGCUCCUACAGAUGACACCGUCGUCACUGCUCUUCCGCCACACGGCAAGUUUCUAGCCCUUCAAAGACGACCGAUUCUGGGAGAAGGACGCAGAUGAGCUGACCCUCCAGAUCAGCUGGACUAAGACUUGGCAGCUGAUUCCGAUUGGACUCAUCACCAGCCACGUGGAAACUCGUUUGCGACCGUGUGGUGAGACGUGUGUGCAGCUCCCAAAAGCCAGCCGGUCCGGGGAGUCCAGGAAGGCCCACGUCACCUUUGCUUCCCUGCCGCCACAAAUUGCAAAAAGUCAACCACCUCAACACUAGUGCCGCUGUUAACAUGGCUAACAGGACAUGAAGGACCCCCCCCCCCCCCACCACCACCAACCCCCCACCCUCCCUGCCGUGCAUGGGGAAUACUUGAAGAAGGAAAGCCUUCAUUAGUUUACUGCUUGCGGGCAUUUGUCAGAACACAGAGUUCUUUCUUUCUUUUUUCUUUUGCAGCCCAAAAUCCAAGAUGUGUUUCGCAUUGCUAAAAACAUUUAACCACAAAAUUUUCUUACAUCUUUUUCAAAAUAAUAAUGAAAACAUUUAAUUUGAAAUUCUCAUUUCGUUACUAUUUUCUGUCUUCAGAAACAUUUUUUGAUCUAAAAAAAGUAUGACUUCUUUUUUGAUUACUUAUUUUUCGUUUUUUUUUUUUUUUACUUUUUAGUGAGCAACUUCUCAAAAACCACAAUUUGACUCAUUUUUUUCUUUUAAAAAAUCUGAUUUGCUAUUUUCACAUUUUACAAAGUAUGACUUUCCUGGAACAAGACAACUUUGAUGUUGAGCGAUUAAAAAUAUCUGAAAUAAAUGGGAUUAUUUUCAUGA